GUGUCCAGCCGCGGUAAUACGUAGGUGGCACGCGUUGUCCGGAUUUAUUGGGCGUAAAGGGAGCGCAGGCGGUCUUUUAAGUCUGAAUGUGAAAGCCCUCAGCUUAACUGAGGAAGCGCAUCGGAAACUGAGAGACUUGAGUGCAGAAGAGGAGAGUGGAACUCCAUGUGUAGCGGUGAAAUGCGUAGAUAUAUGGAAGGACACCAGUGGCGAAGGCGGCUCUCUGGUCUGUUACUGACGCUGAGGCUCGAAAGCAUGGGUAGCGAACAGGAUUAGAUACCCUGGUAGUCCAUGCCGUAAACGAUGAGUGCUAAGUGUUGGGAGGUUUCCGCCUCUCAGUGCUGCAGCUAACGCAUUAAGCACUCCGCCUGGGGAGUACGACCGCAAGGUUGAAACUCAAAUAAAUUGGCGG
rnacentral:rRNA from 1 species